rnacentral:rRNA from 1 species
CGCGUAGGCGGUUUCUAAAGUCAGAUGUGAAAGCCCGGGGCUCAACCCCGGAAGUGCAUUUGAAACUUAGGGACUUGAGUAUGGGAGAGGGAAGUGGAAUUCCUGGUGUAGCGGUGAAAUGCGUAGAUAUCAGGAGGAACAUCGGUGGCGAAGGCGACUUCCUGGACCAAUACUGACGCUGAGGCGCGAAGGCGUGGGGGAGCAAACA